CAGAGCGAACGCUGGCGGCAGGCUUAACACAUGCAAGUCGAGCGGGCGUAGCAAUACGUCAGCGGCAGACGGGUGAGUAACGCGUGGGAACGUACCUUUUGGUUCGGAACAACACAGGGAAACUUGUGCUAAUACCGGAUAAGCCCUUCGGGGGAAAGAUUUAUCGCCGAAAGAUCGGCCCGCGUCUGAUUAGCUAGUUGGUGAGGUAACGGCUCACCAAGGCGACGAUCAGUAGCUGGUCUGAGAGGAUGAUCAGCCACAUUGGGACUGAGACACGGCCCAAACUCCUACGGGAGGCAGCAGUGGGGAAUAUUGGACAAUGGGCGCAAGCCUGAUCCAGCCAUGCCGCGUGAGUGAUGAAGGCCCUAGGGUUGUAAAGCCCUUUUGUGCGGGAAGAUAAUGACGGUACCGCAAGAAUAAGCCCCGGCUAACUUCGUGCCAGCAGCCGCGGUAAUA
rnacentral:rRNA from 2 species